rnacentral:rRNA from 1 species
UACGUAGGGUGCAAGCGUUGUCCGGAAUUAUUGGGCGUAAAGAGCUCGUAGGCGGUUUGUCGCGUCUGCUGUGAAAACUCAGGGCUUAACCCUGAGCUUGCAGUGGGUACGGGCAGACUAGAGUGCGGUAGGGGAGACUGGAAUUCCUGGUGUAGCGGUGAAAUGCGCAGAUAUCAGGAGGAACACCCGAGUGGCGAAGGCAGGGUCUCUGG